AAUCAACGCUGGCGGCGUGCCUCAGACAUGCAAGUCGAACGCGAAAGGCCCCUUCGGGGGCUGAGUAGAGUGGCGUCCGGGUGAGUAACACGUGGGUAAUCUACCUUCGGGUGGGGAAUAACAGUCGGAAACGACUGCUAAUACCGCAUAAUGCAGCGGCACCUAAUGGUGACAGUUGUUAAAGCGGGGGAUCGCAAGACCUCGCGCCUGAAGAGGAGCCCGCGGCGGAUAGCUAGUUGGCAGGGUAACGGCCUACCAAGGCGACGAUCCGUAGCCGGCCUGAGAGGGCGGUCGGCCACACUGGCACUGACACACGGGCCAGACUCCUACGGGAGGCAGCAGUCGGGAAUUUUGGGCAAUGGGCGAAAGCCUGACCCAGCAACGCCGCGUGAAGGAUGAAGCUUUUCGGAGUGUAAACUUCAUAAGAAUGGGACGAAUAAGAAGGGGAUAAUACCCCUUUGAUGACGGUACCAUUUGUAAGCUCCGGCUAACUCCGUGCCAGCCGCCGCUGU
rnacentral:rRNA from 1 species